rnacentral:tRNA from 1 species
UCAAAACUGCCGGUCUGAAGACCAGAUGUCACAGAUUCAAAUCCCCUA